rnacentral:rRNA from 1 species
UACAGAGGGGGCAAGCGUUAUUCGGAAUUAUUGGGCGUAAAGGGCGCGUAGGCGGCUUGGCAAGUGGAUGGUGAAAUCCCUCGGCUUAACCGAGGAACUGCCUGUCAGACUGGAAGGCUUGAGACCGGGAGAGGUGAGUGGAAUUCCCAGUGUAGCGGUGAAAUGCGUAGAUAUUGGGAGGAACACCAGUGGCGAAGGCGGCUCACUGGACCGGAACUGACGCUGAGGCGCGAAAGCGUGGGGAGCAAACAGG